ACGGGUGAGUAACACGUAGGCAACCUGCCUUUAAGACUGGGAUAACUAUCGGAAACGAUAGCUAAGACCGGAUAACUGGUUUUCUCGCAUGAGAGAAUCAUGAAACACGGAGCAAUCUGUGGCUUAAAGAUGGGCCUGCGGCGCAUUAGCUAGUUGGUAGGGUAACGGCCUACCAAGGCGACGAUGCGUAGCCGACCUGAGAGGGUGAACGGCCACACUGGGACUGAGACACGGCCCAGACUCCUACGGGAGGCAGCAGUAGGGAAUCUUCCGCAAUGGACGCAAGUCUGACGGAGCAACGCCGCGUGAGUGAUGAAGGUUUUCGGAUCGUAAAGCUCUGUUGCCCUAGACGAACAGCAAGGAGAGUAACUGCUCUUUGUGUGACGGUAUAGGAGAAGAAAGCCCCGGCUAACUACGUGCCAGCAGCCGCGGUAAUACGUAGGGGGCAAGCGUUGUCCGGAAUUAUUGGGCGUAAAGCGCGCGCAGGCGGUCAUUUAAGUCUGGUGUUUAAGCCCGGGGCUCAACCCCGGUUCGCAUCGGAAACUGGAUGACUUGAGUGUAAGAGAGGAAAGUGGAAUUCCACGUGUA
rnacentral:rRNA from 1 species